rnacentral:rRNA from 1 species
GACGAACGCUGGCGGCGUGCUUAACACAUGCAAGUCGAACGGUGAAGCGCCUUCCUUUUUGGUGGGUGUGGAUGAGUGGCGAACGGGUGAGUAACACGUGAGUAACCUGCCCCCUUCUUCUGGAUAACCGCAUGAAAGUGUGGCUAAUACGGGAUAUUCUGGGUCUGUCGCAUGAUGGGUCUGGGAAAGAUAUUGUUUCGGUGGGGGAUGGGCUCGCGGCCUAUCAGCUUGUUGGUGGGGUGAUGGCCUACCGAGGCGGUGACGGGUAGCCGGCCUGAGAGGGUGGACGGUCACACUGGGACUGAGACACGGCCCAGACUCCUACGGGAGGCAGCAGUGGGGAAUAUUGCACAAUGGGCGCAAGCCUGAUGCAGCGACGCCGCGUGAGGGAUGGAGGCCUUCGGGUUGUGAACCUCUUUCGCCAGUGAAGCAGGCCUGCCUCGUUUGUGGGUGGGUUGACGGUAGCUGGAUAAGAAGCGCCGGCUAACUACGUGC